rnacentral:rRNA from 1 species
UACAGAGGUCUCAAGCGUUGUUCGGAUUCAUUGGGCGUGAAGGGUGCGUAGGUGGCGCCGUAAGUCAGGUGUGAAAUUUCGGAGCUUAACUCCGAAACUGCAUUUGAUACUGCGGUGCUUGAGGACUGGAGAGGAGACUGGAAUUUACGGUGUAGCAGUGAAAUGCGUAGAGAUCAUGAGGAAGACCAGUGGCGAAGGCGGGUCUCUGGACAGUUCCUGACACUGAGGCACGAAGGCCAGGGGAGCAAACGGG